rnacentral:rRNA from 3 species
UACGGAGGGUGCAAACGUUGCUCGGAAUCAUUGGGCGUAAAGCGCGCGUAGGCGGCGAAGCAAGUUGGAUGUGAAAGCCCUGGGCUCAACCUAGGAUGUGCAUACAAAACUGCUUCGCUUGAAUCUCGGAGGGGGUCAGGGAAUUCCCGGUGUAGAGGUGAAAUUCGUAGAUAUCGGGAGGAACACCAGUGGCGAAGGCGCUGACCUGGACGAUGAUUGACGCUGAGGCGCGAAAGCGUGGGGAGCAAACAGG